GAGUUUGAUUCUGGCUCAGAUUGAAUGCUGACGGCGUGGAUGAGGCAUGCAAGUCGAACGAAGUGCGCAUUCGUGUGCACUUAGUGGCGGAAGGGUUAGUAAUACAUGGGUAAUCUACCUUUAACACCGGGAUAACGGCUGGAAACGGCCGCUAAUGCCGGAUAGGGUGGCUGCAGGAAACUGCGGAUCAUUAAAGUGGGGGACCGGGAGACCGGCCUUGCGGUUAAAGAGGGGCCCAUGGGAUAUCAGCUAGUUGGUGGGGUAAGAGCCUACCAAGGCUAAGACGUCUAGGCGGAUUGAGAGAUUGACCGCCAACACUGGGACUGAGACACUGCCCAGACUCCUACGGGAGGCUGCAGUCGAGAAUAUUUCGCAAUGGGCGAAAGCCUGACGAAGCGACGCCGUGUGAGUGAAGAAGGCCUUCGGGUCGUAAAGCUCUUUCGCCUAGGAACAAGAGAAAUCGGAGAAUAUCCGACGUAUUUGAGCGUACUAGGUAAAGAAGCACCGGCUAACUCCGUGCCAGCAGCUGCGGUAAUACGGAGGGUGCAAGCAUUAAUCGGAUUUAUUGGGCGUAAAGGGCGCGUAGGUGGGAAUGUAAGCAAGACGUGAAAUCCCGGGGCUUAACCCCGGAACUGCAUUUUGAACUGCAUUUCUAAGAGGAUAGGCGGAGAAAACGGAAUUCCACAUGUAGCGGUGAAAUGCGUAGAUAUGUGGAAGAACACCGGUGGCGAAGGCGGUUUUCUAGCUUAUUCCUGACGCUGAGGCGCGAAAGCGAGGGGAGCAAACAGGAUUAGAUACCCUGGUAGUCCUCGCCGUAAACGAUGUGUACUUGGUGUAGCCGGACUCAACCCCGGUUGUGCCGUAGCUAACGCGUUAAGUACACCGCCUGGGAAGUACGCCCGCAAGGGUGAAACUCAAAAGAAUUGACGGGGACCCGCACAAGCAGUGGAGCAUGUGGUUUAAUUCGAUGCAACGCGAAGAACCUUACCCAGGCUUGACAUGCAGAAGAUAACACCAGAGAUGGUGCGUUCCUUCGGGACUUCUGCACAGGUGCUGCAUGGCUGUCGUCAGCUCGUGCCGUGAGGUGUUGGGUUAAGUCCCGCAACGAGCGCAACCCUUAUCGUUAGUUGCCAGCAUUUAGGAUGGGAACUCUAACGAGACUGCCUGGGUUAACCAGGAGGAAGGUGAGGAUGACGUCAAGUCCGCAUGGCCCUUAUGCCUGGGGCUACACACGUGCUACAAUGGUCGGUACAGAAGGCAGCUAAGCCGCGAGGUGGAGCAAAUCCAGAAAGCCGGUCCCAGUUCGGAUUGUAGUCUGCAACUCGACUACAUGAAGUCGGAAUUGCUAGUAAUGGCGUGUCAGCAACAACGCCGUGAAUACGUUCCCGGGUCUUGUACACACCGCCCGUCAAAUCAUGGAAGUUGGUUUUACCCGAAGUCGCUGACUUAACCGCAAGGGAAGAGGCGCCGAAGGUGAGGCUGAUGACUAGGAUGAAGUCGUAACAAGGUAGCC
rnacentral:rRNA from 1 species